AUGGCGCAGGAGGUGUCGGAGUACCUGAGCCAGAACCCGCGGGUGGCCGCCUGGGUGGAGGCGCUGCGCUGCGACGAGAUUAAGGUGCCCUUGCUGGGCACCUCAGGAAGCUCAGAAGUAGAGUUGCCAUUAUUGUCUUCUAAGCCUAGUGCAGAGACAGCUUCAAGUGGGUUAACUUCCAAAUCUAGUUCAGAGGCAAGUGUUUCGUCUCAGUUUCUAAAAACAGUUCCUCAUCAGGCACAUCCUUACUGACUCCCAAGAGCAGUUCCUCAACAAAUACAUCACUGCUAACUUCCAAAAGCACUUCCCAGUAGCUAGUAGCUGCUUCACUACUAGCUUCCAGGAGUAGCUCCCAGGCCAGUGGAUCUCUUGCUGACACUUCCUUAGCAAGUGUUUCUCAGUUGACUUCUAAGAGUAGUUCUCAGACUAGCACCUUGCAGUUGCCUUCUAAAAGUUCUUCACAGUCAAGUGAGAGUUCUGUCAAAUUCUCUUGUUGCAAGUUAACCAAUGAAGAUGUGAAACAGAAGCAACCCUUCUUCAACAGACUGUAUAAAACGGUGGCAUGGAAGUUGGUAGCUGUUCAUGGCUUUAGUCCCAAUGUGAAUCAUGGAGAGGUUUUAAAUGCAGCAGUUGAGGCUCUGAGAGCAACACUGGAUGUGUUUUUUUGUACCACUAAAAGAACUGGCAGAUCUGCCUCAAAAUAAGAGCUCUCAAGAAAGUAUUGUUUGUGAGUUGAGAUGUAAGUCUGUUUAUUUGGGCACUGGCUGUGGAAAAAAGCAAAGAAAAUGCAAAAGCGGUUACAUCAAGAGAAGCAUUGAAGUUAUUUCUCAAGAAAAAAAGUGGUGGUAAAAAUAUGUAAAAGGAAAUAUAGAGGCAGUGAAAUAGAAGACCUGGUACUCCUUGAUGAAGAAUCGAGGCCUGUAAACUUACCUCCAACAUUAAAACAUCCUCAAGAAUUACUAUAAUAUGUUCAAAAUAUCACUGCAUACAUCUGGUAUUUGGAGAGGAAAAACUGGCUUUUGUACAGUGUAAAACACAGGCUUUCACAAAUUUUGUAUUGGUUUUUUUCCAGUUUUGCAGAAAAUUUACAUUCUAGUUCACUUCACACAGUAGAAGUUGUAAAUAAUUUAUGAAUGACAGUACACAUUAAAAAGUAUGCAUUAACAGCAUACCAGUAUGCUGUUUUAUUUGCUGAAGAAAAUACUGUCUUCUAUUUUUAAUGAUUAGGUACGAUGUGUAGUUCAGUAGAGUCUUAAAAUUUUUGUACUACUUUCAAUUUGGUGAAAAUGUAUUAAGUUGUCUACCAUGCUUUUUUUUUUUCUAACUGAAUAAACCACAUCAAAGAAAAGGGACCAUAGUAUUUGAAUGUCUGAAAGUCUGUAAAGCUUAAGGCUUAAAAAAUGUUGCCCAUAAUGUUGAACAUGUCUGUUAAAAAAUAAAAUAGUUGCCUCAGACUAU